rnacentral:rRNA from 1 species
AUUGAACGCUGGCGGCAGGCCUAAUACAUGCAAGUCGAACGGUAACAGGAAGCAGCUUGCUGCUUCGCUGACGAGUGGCGGACGGGUGAGUAAUGUCUGGGAAGCUGCCUGAUGGAGGGGGAUAACUACUGGAAACGGUAGCUAAUACCGCAUAAUGUCGCAAGACCAAAGAGGGGGACCUUCGGGCCUCUUGCCAUCGGAUGUGCCCAGAUGGGAUUAGCUUGUUGGUGGGGUAACGGCUCACCAAGGCGACGAUCCCUAGCUGGUCUGAGAGGAUGACCAGCCACACUGGAACUGAGACGCGGUCCAGACUCCUACGGGAGGCAGCAGUGGGGAAUAUUGCACAAUGGGCGCAAGCCUGAUGCAGCCAUGCCGCGUGUAUGAAGAAGGCCUUCGGGUUGUAAAGUACUUUCAGCGGGGAGGAAGGGAGUAAAGUUAAUACCUUUGCUCAUUGACGUUACCCGCAGAAGAAGCACCGGCUAACUCCGUG